AAAUUGAAGAGUUUGAUCAUGGCUCAGAUUGAACGCUGGCGGCAGGCCUAACACAUGCAAGUCGAACGGUAACAGGAAGCAGCUUGCUGCUUCGCUGACGAGUGGCGGACGGGUGAGUAAUGUCUGGGAAACUGCCUGAUGGAGGGGGAUAACUACUGGAAACGGUAGCUAAUACCGCAUAACGUCGCAAGACCAAAGAGGGGGACCUUCGGGCCUCUUGCCAUCGGAUGUGCCCAGAUGGGAUUAGCUAGUAGGUGGGGUAACGGCUCACCUAGGCGACGAUCCCUAGCUGGUCUGAGAGGAUGACCAGCCACACUGGAACUGAGACACGGUCCAGACUCCUACGGGAGGCAGCAGUGGGGAAUAUUGCACAAUGGGCGCAAGCCUGAUGCAGCCAUGCCGCGUGUAUGAAGAAGGCCUUCGGGUUGUAAAGUACUUUCAGCGGGGAGGAAGGCG
rnacentral:rRNA from 1 species